rnacentral:tRNA from 2 species
GCGGGGAUGCCGGAGCGGUCAAACGGGAUGCGCUCAAGACGCAUUGGCUUAGUGCCUACGCAGGUUCGAAUCCUGUUCCCCGCA